UUUAAUGAAAUAUCUUCGACGAACUUGUUUAAACAUCUUUUCAUGAUUUAUAACAAAUUUAUGAAGUGCUGUUUGUUGAGAUUACAAAAAAAAAAAAACAAUUUUUUGUCUUUUCUUUAAUUUUUCAUAACCAUUUUCGUAUUUUCUAUUAGAUAUAAUUUUUUUAAUAUAAUUUAACAAAAAAUCCUACAAUAAAAGACCACAACUACCC
rnacentral:lncRNA from 1 species